CAACAUUUUCUAUACCAGAACACAUUCUGCAAGUAUAACGUGUCAAUAUUACUCUUGAACUAAAUGGUGGUUAGAUU